rnacentral:lncRNA from 1 species
CCUGGGACAGGGGCAGGAAUAAAAAGACUGCUUUUUGCAGACAUCCGCUCUGAGAGAACGUCCCCUGUUUAUGGCAUUGCCCCUACAGCCCUGUAAAACAUGGCCAUUUUUGUUGAGGGUGGGGUUUUUAACUAUAGUGCAGAAAUAUAUCCCAUCAGACACAGGUGGCAUUGAAAUGAAAGUUUUCAAUUGAAAUGGAAGUCUCUUUCCAUAGUGUCUGUCCUUAACUAAUAUGGCCACUCUUAUUUAGCCACAUUAAUGAUACUCACCUUUCAUGCGAGUGCUUUAGCAGGCAACCACAGAGGAACAGAGAGCAAUGUUGUCUCUGCAGAACUGGCUGCUCUUGCCACCACACAAACUGAUCUGGCAAACCAAGCCUCGCCUCACAUGAACUUAAUGUAAAACUACACUUACGCAAGUAGAAUAGCACACCAAACUAUCAUAGAAUUGAUGAGCUGGAUUCCUGAGGUGGAAAGUGGGAGACUCCACACACCACUCAAACUUGACAUACGUUGCGGCUGCAUUACGUGAGAAUGGCAAACAACAUGAGGUAAGUGUAAUGUUUCAGCUCAGCAUAAUCUCCAAGUACUCGCAUUUUGAGAUCAUGGGUUGACUCACUGGACUUCACCUACAACUGGAGAUGUUAUAUCCCACACCUGGGAACCCUGGUUGUUAUACAAAGCUCAUUGCAUGGAACUACAGCUGGACUGGGGCCAUAUUUUAAAUGCAAAACAGAUUAAGUUGGCUGGUACAAGGCAUAGAUUCUGUAUGUUAAAACCUUAAUUUUAUUAAUGUUGAAGAUAUACUGCUCUCCGUGCUAUUAAAAUGUUUGCGGGUGUUGGGGAAGCAUUUUCAGUCUAAGCGCUGCAACUCUUUGGGGUCAACCUUCUGGACUGCAUGCCAGAGGCAAAAAUGAGCAGAACAACUGAUUCGACUUUUAUUUUGUACAGUAGGCUACAUUCCACCCAUGCAGAAGCCAGCAGUUUUUACACACAUACACACCUCCAUCCAGGCAAGAAAGAGGCAUUACUAUAAAUUAAUGCCAUGUUCUAUUCAGGCAAAAAAACCAGUUGAAUAGUGUGUGGAGCAGAACCAUGGUGUGUGUGUGUGUGUGUGUGUGUGUGUGUGUGUGUGUGUGGCCUGCGGGGGAGGGAGAGCUAGGAAGAUGACAUGGCUUGAGAAGAAGCUUGAGGGCUGGAUGCAGAGUCUGGGAGGGUUGCAUUCAGCUUGUGGACCAGAGGUUCAUCACCCUUGAACUAAACCUUGGAGAAUCAUAUGACAGCUUUGCUGACACUGGGCUGUAGACAUCAGCCAUCGUUAAUACUUAUAUAUAAUUUGUUAAUAGUUAUAUAUAAUUAUCUGUUUUUGUGUCUGUAACCUGAAACAAGAAAAGUGCACUCUCUCACUUGGACUGAUUAAAUGAUGGUUCAUGAUGACAACCAACAAGAGAGAGAAGGUGGGAUAUGCCAGCUCUCCCUCCCUAAUAUAUGUGGAGCCCUUGAAUUGUUUACCAACAUUCUUUUGUACUGUUGUAUAUCCUAUUUUGACAACUCUGUAAAAGAAAUUUUCUUCACAGUCUAUGUAACCCGUCAUAUAGUGACACUAGGCUUGUUAAGAACAUAAGAGAAGCCCUGCUGAACUGAAUCAAACACAUAUCUAGGUCAACAUUCUGUUUCCCCCAGUGGCCAACCAGAUGCCAAUGGGACGUUAACUCAGAAGGAAGUCUCACUAGUCCAAUGGGACUUGUUCUCAAGUUAGUAAACAUGCACAGGACUGGGAUGCAUGUAGUGAUGGGUGAAUCCCCGCCCCGCCCCCCAGUUCACUUCAGAAUUGGAUCAUCAGUUGUGUACAUCAUGCAAGAACCUACAAGAAAAGUUACCUCCCUCCCAAGAGUGCUGAACUGACACAUAGUAUUGGUUGUAACUUAUCAUUUCUGUAAAGUUAAUCUAUUUUUUGCCCAAGUCAUGGACACUAAUCACAGCUCAGAACAUAAGAAGAGCCUGCUAGAUCAGACCAACAGGUCUUCUGGUUCAGCAUCUUGCUCUCAUGGUGGGCCACCUGGGGGAAGUUUGCAAGGAGGACCUAACAGAGCUCAGGCAGAACCACAUGUGCAAAAUCUUGUUUUCCCAUUCCAAUAUACUGAAGUAUUGGGAAGGAAGAGGGGAGGACAUGGUGCUACAGGAGCAUUGCUAGCAGCUGAAUUUUGUACAGCAAACUUGAUGAUGAUUAACCUUGCUAGCAUCAGUUGCUCAACAUGUUUCCAUCCAGUUCCACUUUCUUGUGUUAGAGUUCAAGCUAUUCUUACUUCUUCAGAUAAAUCUCAGCAAGGUAUCUUUGGACAAAAGACAGUAUUCAAGGGCUUGCCCAAAUUAUCAUUUAAAUGUGUUGUAUAAAAUUGGGUUAGCUCUGAUGUGCACUUUUUUAAUUGGUUCAUUCCCACUACAUGGAAGGGUUUUGCCUAUUAAAUUGUCUAAUGCAUAAAUCACUUGUGGCAGGCGGAAACCCCCUGGCUGCCUUGUCAUGGCUUUGUUUUGUUUUGUUUUUUGGAUAAGGUUCAAAAAAAGAUAUCAACUUCAGAUUCCUGGAUGCUAACUGCAGAUGCAGACAAGCAACAAUGUCUUCACAAGAAAUUGUACCCCAGAAAAACCCUUUGUUUAAAAGAGCAGCUACAAUUCUACAGAUGUGUGUUCGGCCAACUAAAGAACAACAAAAAGGAGGAAAGUCUUCGUUCAAAGCCAACAGUGCUUUCGGUGGCCGUCAAUCUCUGCUCUCUUCCAGACGACCUGUGUUUUGAGCAUUCAGCCUGACUUGCUCGCACAAAGCUGGCACAAGGGUUAGACUGUGUGUGGUCUUUAGUGAACGUUCAUUUGCAUUUCCUUGCAGAAAAGUUGUACAACAAUGAGCAUUCAUCCUUAGCUCUUUGUGCAAUGUUUAUACAUCUUCCCACUAUUCAUUCAGCCCAAGAUUUCCAGUGCAUUUCCCCAUCACUUUCCUAACUGCAAAAAGUCCAUUUUUAAGAAGUGGAUUUGUGGAUUUGUUGCACUAGAGCAAAGGUAACAAACGUGAUGCCCUCCAGAUGCUGUUGGACUCCAAUGCCUACCAGCCCCAGCUAGCAUGGUCAGUGGUCAGAGAAGUAGUUGAACAAUACCUGGAGGGCACCCUGUUGCA